UAGAGUAAUACAUAAGUAACCUGCCCUAGACAGGGGGAUAACUAUUGGAAACGAUAGCUAAGACCGCAUAGGUACGGACACUGCAUGGUGACCGUAUUAAAAGUGCCUCAAAGCACUGGUAGAGGAUGGACUUAUGGCGCAUUAGCUGGUUGGCGGGGUAAUGGCCCACCAAGGCGACGAUGCGUAGCCGACCUGAGAGGGUGACCGGCCACACUGGGACUGAGACACGGCCCAGACUCCUACGGGAGGCAGCAUG
rnacentral:rRNA from 1 species